AGUAAGAUUGAACAGAAGUCAAGCACCUGCUGGAGGUUUCAAAGAUGCUGCAGUCAUCCGGCUUUAGGGAAACUGGGCUAUUUUACUGAGUCAUGAUUAAUUAAUUAGCUGACGGACAAGAAGGCCCACAGCCUUCCAAAUGGAUCAAGAUCAAUAAUAGCCUUAACAAAGUGUGACCUCGUCUCCAUGGAAACCGUUUAAAUGGCACAAAUAGGCCUCACCUCAAGAAACCCAUCUGAGGUUUUACUUUAAGAGCCUUAAACCACAGGAGAGCCGGAGAGUGCACUUGCAUCAACACAUGCAUGCAGGAAGGAUAAACACGCCCAAUCAAGUUCUUGUCGGUUGGUGUUCAGGGUGGAUUGUGGUUUGUUCCAAGAACCAUGCAGCCAACAGAGAGCACUAAUCCUGCGAUUGUGUUAAAUGGGCAUGCUCUAGAUAUACACCAUAGACCUGUUCUCCUGUUUGCUAAAAGCAAUCUUCUCUUUUAUUUUUUGUCUUGAUGACAGCAGAAUAAAUGGUAUUGAUGAAGAAGGGGGGGUGAUUUUGUGGAAAAUCUUAACAAAGCGUCACCCAUUUGUCAAAGAUGGAGCAAUUUUCCCCUUUUAUCCCAAAGUUGAUGCAAGAUUACUGGAGGAAAAAAGAAAUAGAGCUGUAGAGCUAAUAUCUGUCCUCUGUGGGUUUUAGUUCUCUCCAUUUCAGGUAUCACACAUGUGAUUGCAUUCAUCAGACUUUAGUAAACAAUAGUUUAUCAGUCCACAUCUUAACCUUGAUAUUGAAAGAAAAUCUCAAAUUAUUUUUUGUUACUAUAUCCACUUAUUAUAAUUACAUGAAUGUCUUUUUGUGUUAGCUGUUGACUUCUGAAAGAUUUCUAGUCUCAGACUGUCUUGAAAUGUUUUCAUCAUGCAACUUUCGUGU